rnacentral:lncRNA from 1 species
GUUGUUUUUUUAGUAGAGUAAUGAUGCAUUUUUUUUGUUUUUUCAAGGUCUUUAAAGGGUGUAUUUAUAUGAAGAGUUGAGGAAUGGAAUUCAGGUGGGUUUGAGGAUAAAGAUUGCAAAUAUUAGUUAGAGAGCCCUCCUUUAAAUCCCUGAUUUUCUGGGGUGAGUGGAAUUGAGGACAGGGUGGUGAAGAAAAUUAUUGAGCAAAUCAGAUAUUUUUUUGUAUCUUUUGUCCUUUUU